rnacentral:rRNA from 1 species
GGAAGGUUGUCCGGGUGUUGGAAGUCCCGGUCGCUGCAUUGGAGAAGGCGCUUAGGCAAAUCCGGGCGCAGGAUUCAAGGGUGUGGCGCGAGCUCCUUCGGGAGCGAAGCAAUUGGAAGUGGUUCCAAGAAAAGCCUCUAAGCUUCAGUCUAACGAUGACCGUACCGCAAACCGACACAGGUGGGCGAGAUGAGUAUUCUAAGGCGCUUGAGAGAACUCGGGAGAAGGAACUCGGCAAAUUGGUACCGUAACUUCGGGAUAAGGUACGCCCUGGUAGCUUGACUGGCCUGCGCCAGAAGGGUGAAGGGGUUGCAAUAAACUGGUGGCUGCGACUGUUUAAUAAAAACACAGCACUCUGCAAACACGAAAGUGGACGUAUAGGGUGUGACGCCUGCCCGGUGCCGGAAGAUUAAAUGAUGGGGUGCAAGCUCUUGAUUGAAGUCCCGGUAAACGGCGGCCGUAACUAUAACGGUCCUAAGGUAGCGAAAUUCCUUGUCGGGUAAGUUCCGACCUGCACGAAUGGCGUAACGAUGGCCACACUGUCUCCUCCCGAGACUCAGCGAAGUUGAAGUGUUUGUGAUGAUGCAAUCUACCCGCGGCUAGACGGAAAGACCCCAUGAACCUUUACUGUAGCUUUGCAUUGGACUUUGAACCGAUCUGUGUAGGAUAGGUGGGAGGCUAUGAAACCGGAAUGCUAGUUUCGGUGGAGCCGUCCUUGAAAUACCACCCUGGUUUGUUUGAGGUUCUAACCUUGGCCCGUGAUCCGGGUCGGGGACAGUGCAUGGUAGGCAGUUUGACUGGGGCGGUCUCCUCCCAAAGCGUAACGGAGGAGUACGAAGGUACGCUAGGUACGGUCGGAAAUCGUGCUGAUAGUGCAAUGGCAUAAGCGUGCUUAACUGCGAGACCGACAAGUCGAGCAGGUGCGAAAGCAGGUCAUAGUGAUCCGGUGGUUCUGUAUGGAAGGGCCAUCGCUCAACGGAUAAAAGGUACUCUGGGGAUAACAGGCUGAUACCGCCCAAGAGUUCAUAUCGACGGCGGUGUUUGGCACCUCGAUGUCGGCUCAUCUCAUCCUGGGGCUGUAGCCGGUCCCAAGGGUAUGGCUGUUCGCCAUUUAAAGAGGUACGUGAGCUGGGUUUAAAACGUCGUGAGACAGUUUGGUCCCUAUCUGCCGUGGGCGUUGGAAGUUUGAAGGGGGCUGCUCCUAGUACGAGAGGACCGGAGUGGACGAACCUCUGGUGUACCGGUUGUGACGCCAGUCGCAUCGCCGGGUAGCUAUGUUCGGAAGAGAUAACCGCUGAAAGCAUCUAAGCGGGAAACUCGCCUUAAGAUGAGACUUCCCCGGGGACUUGAUCCCCUUGAAGGGUCGUUCGAGACCAGGACGUUGAUAGGUCGGGUGUGUAAGCGCAGUAAUGCGUUCAGCUAACCGAUACUAAUUGCCCGUACGGCUUGAUCCU